UCUCCACACAGGAUAGAUUUUACUCCAGAGCAGGGGAGGGGGAGAGGGGACAAAAGUACUCAGUUCUUCUCCCAUAUUAAUACUUCAUCGAAGGCUCCCUGUGAGCAGGGAUGUUCCCCUCCAUAGAUGCAACAACUCCAUACGUCAUCAAAUGGUUUAUUUUUAACCCCUGUUUAAUAGUGUAUGUCAUGAACUAUCUCCUAAUAAAUCCUGACUGUAGCCAAAGGCUUCCGUAAUAUCCAGUCAUUUAGCUCCAUUGCAGAUUCAUUUUAAAUUUUCUUUUUAAAGGUAGAGUUUUUAAAAUGAGCUAGUAAGAAAAGAAAUGUUUCACCAUUUUUCUCUAUACAGUGAAUAUGGUGUAAGACCCAGCAGCUGUGUUAUUUGCUUACACAACAUGUUAACGUGAGAGGAAGGUAGCAAAUUUUGAUAGGGUGUCAUGCAAUGAAGAGUCCUCCCUUCAGGACCACUGAGGCUUACUUUGAAUUAACGAAGGUAUUAAUUUGAAGCACAGUGGAAAUAUUUGAAAGAAACCAUUAAUUAACACUUCUUCUUUAUAUUUUUUUCCUAUAUUUUCCAGUUGCGUUGAUAACUGGAGGCGGGAACACUUUUGGAGUGGUGAUUCGCAAAUUUUACUGUGCGAAGCCACCAAAAACUCAAAAGUUGUUUGUCACAGGUUUUGUGAUGCUCUCUGAAGUCAAAAGAAGUCACAUAACUAAAAAAAAACGUGGAUUCCCAUUGAACAGCAUCAGCUAAAGCAGCAAGGCAAGAGCACGUGAGCUUUCAGCCCAGGUUCGAAGGUCGGUUCGAGAGACUCCAGCAGGACUUGUUUCUUUCCAAUUCCUACCUCCGCUUGUACCCAUAACAAUAUUACUUGGGGCUAAUUCCUGCCUCAGCUGUGGACAGACUGGACCUGUCCAGACAACACGGGGGCUUCCUACACCUCCUGACAGAUUGUCAGCUGGAGUUUCGUUAUGUGUAUGUGUCGAGUGUGAACGGAAUUAUUUGAGGAAUUUUCAUUCAGUGAAUAGUUUUUUCAUCUGCAACCCGACACAAAUGCUCUGUGUCAGUACUGCAACACACCGUUUCUCUGAAAACUGAAGUAAAAUGAAUAGCAAAGCAUGCUUGCCAGAAGAGCAUGAAGUGUAAUAUCUUUUGUAUCAGGGUUUGGAGAAAUACGUGUAAUCCCACAGAAAUAUUUUUCCAAAAAAGGAAAAAACCUCUGACAGCACUGCUGUAAUUACCUCGUUUGCUCCCUGAAGAACGGGUCCACCCAUCCUCUCACCAAACCCUGGCCCAGCUGCAGGGUGGUGGUGGCACUUGGGCUGAGAAUAAUGUCAAACAAAUUUCCUGAUUGCUGAGUAUUGCUUCUCCUAGAACAUGAUGGAUCCCUCUGAGAGUGGAUGAAAACUCUUGGAGAGGAUUAGCACACGGGCGACUGAGUUAACACCAUUUAACCCCGGGACGACACCUCGCUUCUGUGGAAAACCGCCUUGCCUUUGAUGUCUGCAGGAGUCUGGAGUCUGGUGAAAAGAGGAGCAGGUGGGACACCAGAGGAGAGCUUCUUCCUUCGGAAGUCUGAAUUCAUCAAACAAAACCUUAGGACAUUGUUUUAAAUGCUGAAAACAGAGCGAAACCGUUAUAUGGCACGCUGCUUUGUAGAGUUAAUUUGUGGAGUUUACAGAUCCUUGGUGGGUGAGUAGACUGGGGAACAGAAAUGCUUUCUUAAAAUAUUACUGUGGAGCCAGAUACUUCACUUUAUAUAUCCUCCACAGCGGUGAUUCUUGUUACAAAAUUUCACACGCUGGAUGUCUGAUAAAAGCAGGGAAGUUGUGAGUGCCCCCGCACGAGGCAGCUCCAAAGCGAUUUUUUUGUGCAUGUGAAUACAGAGUCCAUCAUUGCAAGAAGAGGUAAGAAAAGGAAACCUGAGGCUUUUUCAAAUACUGUAGCUUCAAAUCACAGCGAUUAAAUUAUAGUCCAAUCACAGACUGAACAAGAGGAUGUUGGUGAAAUAAAAGUAAAUGCACGUAACUCUUCAGGCUUGUGCGAGGUAUUUGUACUUGGAGUCACACCCUUCUUGACUGGACUAGGAUACUUGUCUAGAUGCCUCACAUAGUAAUGGGUGUGCUAUCUGUGGAAUUUCAUUUGAAAUCUUAACUCUUCCUAGGAUUUUUUUACAGUAAUGUUAAUGGUAACUAUAAAAGCAAAUAGAUUUCACCAAGGGCAAGAAGUUUGGCAGCUCUAUUAAUUUUCUUUUUAUCGAAUGCAAAGUAUUUUUGGAAGUAUUCUUAGAAAUUCCUUGUCUUGAAGUAGUUCCUGGUAAAGAUAAAAUAAAGGUCCAGUUCUGUUACAUUUAACAAGCAGAGAAAUGCUUUAUGAGUAUAAAAAAAUGAUCAGUGAAUUUCUUGUUCUCUUUUAAAUGUGUCUACAUGUUAGGAAAAAUGAGAGAACAGACUGACACCUUUCUUAUUUAUAUUAAGGUGAUAUUUAUAUCAAGUUUUAAAGAUUCAUUUUCACAUGGAACCAGCUUUAAAAUUAUGUUUUCCAUUCCCAGAGUAUAAUUGUUACUUUAUGAGCAUUUGAAUUUAAUCACAUUGAAUAAGUUAUUGGUAAAUGAUACCUAGUUUUCCAUAGAUGAUGUGUACUCAGACUCCCUUUAGGUGCCACACACAGUAGCCAUCCUGCAUCAGAUGUUAUUUUUAUUAACGCUGAAGAGUGGACAUUUCAUUUUACCUCCUUUUUAUUUUAGGUUUAAUAUUUAGCUUAACUUUUAACUUCAGCUUUGAUAUUUAGUUUGACUUAAAAGCAUACCGGUUUUAUUUUAUUUGUAGCUAGAAGGAUGGGAAAGCAGCAAAGAAAAACCCAGCAUUAUUGUUUUGUUUAUAUCUCAAGCUUACUUUUUAAUAUUUCAGGGCAUCUUUUCAAAGCGAGGAAAUAUUUCAGUCCUCCUGACUUCUUGCUAUCCUUGCUGAGACUGUCAGUUAUUGUAUGGCCACUUGUCCACCAGCCACUGGACUGCACCACCCAUUAAUCUAGUUUAUUCCCUCUAAUUAGCCAUCAGACUUGCAGACACCACAGACUUUAAUGGAGAAGAGGUGGUGAUCUCACUGUAAAAGGCUGCUUGUCCCUUUUGACUCUCCCCCGGAGAGAUCAAGGUCCAGGACAACAGUGACACAGCGGAGGUGACUCUGAAAGAGGGGGGAAAAACCAGCACAGAAGCUUUAACUUUGCGUGGUAAUACUCCUUUCUUGUACUGUCGUGAGCGUGUUUCAAAUUUAAUUUCACGAGUUCAAACACAUUUGCAAAUAAUUAUUUUCAGUGUCUUGCUGUUGCAUUCAAAUUUGUGAGUACAACCCAUUAUCAGUUUCCUCAGAAUCUGAUCAUUUGUGCUUAGAGGUGAAGCCUCAUUAGCCUUCUCAAAACAAUGUAAACGGGAAAUGUCUGAAAUCAUGUGAUUAGAGAUGUGUAAAACUACUUAUGGAAACACAGGUACCUGAUGAGCCAUUAAUGAGAUCAUUAAAAAUAUUAAAAAAUUCAAUUUCAUCUGAAAAUAAGAGACUUGUUGUAAAAUGCUUAAAAAUAUAGUAAAAACCUGUUACACAGUUUGAAAACGCACAGUGAAUUUUACCUCCUAAAGCAGGGCAUUGACUGACACACAAGUGAAAGAAAAAUAUCAGUACUUAAAUCAAAUUGAAUGGCAGGCUGUAACUUCUCCCAUCCAUGCAAAUAUUUCAUGUGUAAAUUGUACAAGUAUUUGCAGUGGAAGUAUACAAAAAUCCCCUUAGGGAUACGGUGGUUCGGAGACUGCGGGUCUGCUCAUACCCAAAUGUAGAGCAAUUGUAAAAAUGCCAGCUUGCCAAAUGUAUUCCUCAACUAAUUUUGUCACAGGAUUUUAUACUUAGAAAUUUAUAGCAAAUUCAUCAGGUUUAAACCAGCUGGAGAUCGGAGCCUGGCAAAACGAUUUGCAA